AGAGUUUGAUCAUGGCUCAGGAUGAACGCUGGCGGCGUGCUUAACACAUGCAAGUCGAACGAUGAAGGGGGCUUGCUCCUGGAUUAGUGGCGAACGGGUGAGUAACACGUGAGUAACCUGCCCUUAACUCUGGGAUAAGCCUGGGAAACUGGGUCUAAUACCGGAUAUGACUCCUCAUCGCAUGGUGGGGGGUGGAAAGCUUUUUGUGGUUUUGGAUGGACUCGCGGCCUAUCAGCUUGUUGGUGAGGUAAUGGCUCACCAAGGCGACGACGGGUAGCCGGCCUGAGAGGGUGACCGGCCACACUGGGACUGAGACACGGCCCAGACUCCUACGGGAGGCAGCAGUGGGGAAUAUUGCACAAUGGGCGAAAGCCUGAUGCAGCGACGCCGCGUGAGGGAUGACGGCCUUCGGGUUGUAAACCUCUUUCAGUAGGGAAGAAGCGAAAGUGACGGUACCUGCAGAAGAAGCGCCGGCUAACUACGUGCCAGCAGCCGCGGUAAUACGUAGGGCGCAAGCGUUAUCCGGAAUUAUUGGGCGUAAAGAGCUCGUAGGCGGUUUGUCGCGUCUGCCGUGAAAGUCCGGGGCUCAACUCCGGAUCUGCGGUGGGUACGGGCAGACUAGAGUGAUGUAGGGGAGACUGGAAUUCCUGGUGUAGCGGUGAAAUGCGCAGAUAUCAGGAGGAACACCGAUGGCGAAGGCAGGUCUCUGGGCAUUAACUGACGCUGAGGAGCGAAAGCAUGGGGAGCGAACAGGAUUAGAUACCCCAGUAGUCC
rnacentral:rRNA from 1 species